ACUAAGGGGAAACCACAGCAAUGUGUACACUUAAGAAGGUCUGCUGUGUGAAGAUUAAUAUCUGUCUUUCUUUGACUCUAAAAGAGACAAAAACAAGAUUGGUUUUAGUUUGCUGUUUCAGACAUGAGUGGAUUUCCCCCUUUUCAUUAGUUAUAACUUUAUUGAAAAUUGAGUACUUUUGUCUUGUGUCAGUGAUGUGUUCUCUUGUGGUAUUUCUUCUACUGUAAGUUCUAACUGUAUAUAAAAUUCGUUCUUGGAGAUAAGGUGCUAGAGAUUAGAUUGUGUGUGUUUGUGGCUAGUGUCAUCAGUAAAAUGAGUGAUGUGUGUGUGUACAUGUAAAGUUAGUUAACAAAAUGCAUGCAGUAUCCUAUAUGUGACCCACAAUUUGGUCACUUUUUGAAGUAGAACAUAGUACAUUAAUUUACCUUUAAAAGUGUAUACUACAGGAUAUGUAACAUGGCUCCACAGUGGUAUUCGGGAAGAGGUGCCUUUCAUUCCUUACAUCCCUGGUACGUGACAAGCAAGAACUUAUUCUGGUACAGCUGGGAAUAGAUGUGAACUAAAUUAUCAUCUUGGCUGAAGUCCUCACCUGCAGUUCUCCACCCCACUGGCACUGGUAUGCCUGUUUUCUUCAAUACAUAGAUAGAUCUCAAAAUCAAAGAAGACAAGUCCUUUCCCCAUAAAAGGGUAAGAACCCCAGGGCAGGCUAUUGGAGUCCUGAUAGCAGGAGGAUUUUAAAAGAGUACUGCAGUUUCAAGACCUAAACAGGAACCAGUACCUGACUGGAAAGUUAAUCAGACUUACAUUUAGCUGAUCCAUAGUUGGUGAUCCCUGCCCUCCUAGAGAAGUGCCAAGACCCAGAAGAAGGCUGCUCUGUUUUGUUUUUGUUGUUUUCCUCUUUGGCUGUCUCAGAUGAGAUGCAGCAUUAAUAAAGAAACAGUGAGAAUUGGGGGGUGGGUGGGGGGAGGGCAGGGAUUGAAGCUCAGGUGUUUGAAGAGUUACAGUUGUAGAUUAAAUAUAUUUGCAGAAGAACUCAGAUUAUUUUAUUAUAUUUUGAAAACAAAAGUAUUACAAGAGGAUAUAUAUUUAUAUAUAUUCUCAUUAAAUCAUUUCUAAAACUGCCUUUAAUACCAAAUUUCACGUGCUAUUUUGAGACUGAGAACAAUAGGACGAGUGCACUCAGUCAAUAAGACAGUUCUCUUUAAUACUUUCCAUUUUAAAUCUAAAACUUUCCUUUUAAAACAAAAGAUUUGUAAUUUAAAAGUGCCUUUUCAAAGGAUUUUCAAAACUAUAGUCCUGGGGCCAUGUUCCCAUUGGCACAACUUACCUUCAGGUGCACAAAUGGGUCGGAAUUUAUUGUCCACCUGUCAGCGAGAAGAGAAAUCCCUCACACUCAAAUCAAAUUUAUGAAUUGAUACUGUUACAUGGGCAGGUCGUCCCAGAGACUCUGCCCAAAGUCACGGUUUCAUAUAUUGGUUGAUUUUAAGUGAAUGCAUUCUAAACUGGUUGUGAUACCUUUAGUGCCAGACAGGAACAACAGACUCCUGCUUGGGGAAUGAAGAGAGAUUAACAUUUGUGGUUUAAGUAUUAUUAAUAUUUUUCGUGUUUCUUAAAUAGGUGCUGUAAAUCUGUUCUUGGUACAUUCUUCUGAAAUAUGCUAAAUAAAGUCUCAUUUUAUGUGUG
rnacentral:lncRNA from 1 species